rnacentral:rRNA from 1 species
UACGGAAGGGGCUAGCGUUGUUCGGAAUCACUGGGCGUAAAGCGCGCGUAGGCGGCCGGUCAAGUGCGGCGUGAAAGUCCUGGGCUCAACCCGGGGACGGCGCUGCGGACUGUCUGGCUGGAGUCCGGGAGAGGGUGGUGGAAUUCCGAGUGUAGAGGUGAAAUUCGUAGAUAUUCGGAGGAACACCGGUGGCGAAGGCGGCCACCUGGCCCGGUACUGACGCUCAAGCGCGAAAGCGUGGGGAGCAAACAGG